AGAUUCGACCUCUUGGUCUAUCUCUCUUCAGCUGUGCGCUUAGGCUGCACGCUGUUGAAUCUUUCACACCUGUGCACCAUUCGGUUGCGGUUUCAGCCGCUUCCGCUUUUCACAUACCACCACAGUCCAGAAUGUAAACACAAUAACAAAUAAC
rnacentral:misc_RNA from 1 species